CCGCUUCCCGCCCUGCCGGGACCGCGCUCCCAGGCCGGCGUCCGAGCCCACCUGGCGUUCCUUCCCCGGGGACCCCAGCCCGAGAGGUGACGGUGGCGGUCCGGCUGCCGGUCGCGGGAAGAUUUUGGUGGAGCCCGGGCCCCAGACCUUCGGGCACGACUCGUGGACAGGACCGGGCAGAGCCCUGCCCUAACUUUUAGCCUGGAUAAGACUAUGCUGGAGAGUAAUACAAGAGGAAUUCUAAUACUUCAAACUCAAUUAAAGGGGGCCACCACUGAGUCUCAAUCUCAAUCAGCAGUUCUAAAUGACUGUUGGUGUUUCUUCCCAACACUUGAGCUUACAUAAUGAAUUCCAGAUUCUGGGAGAGUGGCUACAAGCUCUAGCCCUGCCUUGCCCUGGAUGCAGGGGAUUAGGACAUGCAUGUUUGACAAUGUGACUUUCAUGGGAACUUCUUUACCUUGGUGAAAAGACCAAUGCCUACUUAUCUGACCUGUGACCAGGCCAUAUGGAAUUUUGGGUGACUGGAUUGAGUCAGGUCGAUGGAGUCAACAUGUCCCAGAGGGAGGUGAUGACCACCAAAGGAUUGUAUAAAACAGAUAUCUGCACCAACCACGCUGAAUAACUGGGAAGAGGUGGAGAACAGAAACAGUGUCCAGAGUAAGUGUGUGCUUCUUCCGGUAUGAGAAGAUACAGCCUAUAUUCACAAUGGAUGCUGAGGAACAUUCAAUAUAAAAAUCAACUACACAUGCUCAGAAUUCACUUCUACACAUGCUCUUUGAGUCCUGCUGAUGUAAAUUGAAAACACCCUGUAGUUCCUUCAGUACAUAAGCUCUCUUCCCCGGAAGCAGGUAGCACCCCUCCUGUGUGAGGCUGAGAACUAACUCAAGGGCCUAGACAGGCAAUGAGGAGAGGUAGGGGUGGGAUGUGAGAAUCACCUCAGUGUGUGAGCACUUGAGACAGGUGCUGUCACUGGAACACUUUUCUUUUAACAGUGAGGGUGAGACUCCCUAACACGGCAAAGGAACUUCCGGGAAUAAGGGGGCCAGGGAGACAGGGCUCCCAAAAUUCUCAGCAUUGAGUGUGAGCGCCCAAUUUCCCAUUACUCCUCUCAGCGGCCCGCAUUUUCCCCUUCAGGCCUGAUCUAGGCAGGAGCCCUGGCAGGAUCCAGCACCAAAGUGGGGCUACGAUCUAAAUCCUCUGAUUAGCCCCAGUACUUGUUUUUCAUCCUGAUCUGCUCUAGGAAGAAAAGACUGACCCUUUCAAACUGCCCUGGAGAAGUUCUUAUUUUCCAUGUGUGUGCUUUGCUGGUUUCAAUAUCUCCUUUCCCUACACUAAUUUUAAGGGCAUCUAGAAGAAACCUGAUAAUACUAUGACCUUCAUACCACUUGUGUUUUGACAAAUACUAAUUGCCGGAGCCCCCAGGAUCACCCAUAACUGUGCCAUGACCCUCACUUUACCCUCAACCAGCACUGAUGAUCUUUUGAAUAUCACUGCAUUUCAGGUAUCACUCCCAGAAAAGAGAGGAUUCCAGGUAUAUUAAAUUUUAAAAUAACCCAAUUCCAUCAUUCCAUUUUUGUGGGUUUAAUUCCUACAUCCACUCCAGACACCAUUUAUCACAAGAAUCCUCACAGGAGUCAGAACCAUCAAAAGGAUAUUAGAAGUAAAUUUUAAU